UACGUAGGGGGCUAGCGUUGUCCGGAAUCAUUGGGCGUAAAGCGCGUGUAGGCGGCCCGGUAAGUCCGCUGUGAAAGUCGGGGGGCUCAACCCUCGGAUGCCGGUGGAUACUGUCGGGCUUGAGUACGGAAGAGGCGAGUGGAAUUCCUGGUGUAGCGGUGAAAUGCGCAGAUAUCAGGAGGAACACCUAUUGCGAAGGCAGCUCGCUGGGACGUGACUGACGCUGAGACGCGAAAGCGUGGGGAGCAAACAGG
rnacentral:rRNA from 1 species